AUUAGAUACCCUGGUAGUCCACGCAGUAAACGAUGAAUACUAGCUGUCCGGGGCGAAUGAGCCCUGGGUGGCACAGCGAAAGCGUUAAGUAUUCCACCUGGGGAGUACGCCGGCAACGGUGAAACUCAAAGGAAUUGACGGGGGCCCGCACAAGCGGAGGAACAUGUGGUUUAAUUCGAUGAUACGCGAGGAACCUUACCCGGGCUCAAACGACACAGGAACGGUCCUGAAAGGGGUCGGCUCUACGGAGCCUGUGUCGAGGUGCUGCAUGGUUGUCGUCAGCUCGUGCCGUGAGGUGUCGGCUUAAGUGCCAUAACGAGCGCAACCCCCAUCGACAGUUGCUAACAGGUUAGGCUGAGGACUCUGUCGAGACUGCCGGCGCAAGCUGCGAGGAAGGCGGGGAUGACGUCAAAUCAGCACGGCCCUUACGUCCGGGGCGACACACGUGUUACAAUGGCAGGUACAGCGGGAAGCCACCUGGCGACAGGGAGCGGAACCCGAAAGCCUGUCUCAGUUCGGAUUGGAGUCUGCAACCCGACUCCAUGAAGCUGGAUUCGCUAGUAAUCGCGCAUCAGCCACGGCGCGGUGAAUACGUUCCCGGGCCUUGUACACACCGCCCGUCAAGCCAUGGAAGCCGGGGGUGCCUGAAGUGCGCUGCCGCAAGGAGCGCCCUAGGGUAAAACCGGUGACUGGCGCUAAGUCGUAACAAGGUACC
rnacentral:rRNA from 1 species